rnacentral:rRNA from 1 species
AGGAGUGACGGACGGGUGAGUAACACGUGGGUAACCUACCUAUAAGACUGGGAUAACUCCGGGAAACCGGGGCUAAUACCGGAUAACACAUGAAACCGCAUGGUUUCAUGAUGAAAGACGGUUUUGCUGUCACUUAUAGAUGGACCCGCGGCGUAUUAGCUAGUUGGUAAGGUAACGGCUUACCAAGGCAACGAUACGUAGCCGACCUGAGAGGGUGAUCGGCCACACUGGAACUGAGACACGGUCCAG